AAUAUCUGCCGAACAUCUGACUAGC
rnacentral:piRNA from 1 species